rnacentral:lncRNA from 1 species
UACUCCACAGGGAAUUUGGCAAAAUGAAGACUGCUGUAGUAUGCUGGAGCCUUUUCAGCAUUACCUUUGCUUUUCCAGUAAGUACUUGCAUAGGUAAUAUAUAACCCAAAUAUAGGACAUUUGUCUUAAUGUGUUGAUAGCAAGUUGUAAAUCUUUCUCACCAUUUCUUUCCCAUUUUUUCUUUUCACUAGAUUGCUCAACCACCACCUGCUGGUGCUUUGAAGAAACUAGAAAUAGAGAAGGAAUUUUAUUCUUCCGAUGGAAAUGAUGACAAGGCACAGAAGGAGGAUCCUCAUCUCGUGAGCAGUGAUGCCAAGGCACGAGAGGUAAGAAUAUCCUUGAGUGCAUUUAGAACUUUAAAAGGUGUUUAAUUUAUCAUAUAGUUUAAUAAUUUUGUAAAUAACACAAUAAUUGAUACUAAAGACGCAGUGUUUCUAAUAGAGUCGAUUCUUGCAUUUGCUAGGGAGGAUGUAUUUGUUUCUUUAGUUGUUAUCCCACCUCUCUCCCAGUAAGAAACUAAACGAAAAUUCACAACCAUUAUGUAAACUGGUAUAUAAAGGGUUUUUUUUGCUGUCGUUGUGUG